GUUGAGGGGAAUGUUGUCUGGUUCGAGACCAUUCAUGCAUGCGGAGAAAACAGCAUCAUCUGAAUGAUUUCGGACCAGGCUUCAUUCCCCCCAAC
rnacentral:pre_miRNA from 1 species